AGCUCAGAAAAAAUUCUCUACCCAGCGGGGAGCCCAGGAGCAUUAGCUCGUGUUUACGUUGGCAGUGCGCGGUUCCACCAUUCCUUCAGUGCCUGACCUGUUUCUGCCAUGCUUGCAUCCCUCUCCAGCUCCAGGACAGAUCUGCGCAGGUCUUUGCCUGGCAUCAUCUUCUGAACCUCUUAGAAAGAAUUUUAUCCUAAGAGGCAACACCCUGGAAAUGUUGGGACUUGUCUGGCAAGAAAAGUAUGGAAAGAACACAGAGUGACUUUCACAGAAAUGGUCUGUGAAGGUAAGAGAGGCCCUGACAAUUUUUACGAGGUGGUGAAGCUGAUGGGAGGCCUACGAAUUAGGGGCUGAGCAGGAGGAAGAGGAGUGCAAACCCAGGCAUGGGCAAUUCGAGAAACACAGAGCUGGGGGACAGAAUAAGAAUACACAAGCUUGUCCUUCAGGUGAACACUUUACUUCAGACUUAAAACAUUUAGAGCUGGUGGCCCUUGGCA
rnacentral:lncRNA from 1 species